CCCUUUGUAGGGGUCCGAGGUGGCUCUGUCCUGUCAGAGCUGGGAGGAUCUGUCUGGAGAGACAGCAACCCCUCCUGCAACUGGAAGAAGCUGCCAAGCUGCCAGAGUCCACCUUUUCCUCCAGAACAGAUCUGUUUGUCUCAGCUGUAGCUGCUGAAAUGCACAGUGCAGAGCGAUGUGGGUACAUGCACAUGUGUGGAGACAGGGACUUUCUGACAUUAAUGAGUAAAUAAUUGGCACUGCUUUCACAGGAGAGGUGAUUGAAGCCUGACAAAGUUAGAUAAUGUGGAGAAAGUAAAUGAUAGAAAGAUCUUUGUUUAAUGGUGAAAACGACAUGCUUAAAAUUUGCCUGUUAAUUUAAUUUCACUGCAAAUUCCCUGUGAAAUGUUAGGUCUCAGGGGGUCAUUCAUCUCAUUUGUCAAAUCUUCACUGGUUUCAUUGAAAGUAAUUUAAACUUGUGGAGAAUUUAAGUCAAAUUUGUAAGCGUACAUUAUCUCCCCACAGCUUUACUCUGUCUUGACCCUGCUGGCUAACCCUGGCUGCUGCUCAUCAAGUACUGAGCAGCUGUCAAUGUCAUUGCAUUCACUGCACAUCCCCAUGAAAGAUAAUAAAGGCUGGGCUUCCCAGGCAGGCCAAGCAAACAAGAGGAGCUGAAGGAAAAAAAUCUGAAGUUAACUGACGCUUUUCCUUUGUGAUUGUGUCAUCCAGUCAGACUGGGAUGUGUGGUACCAGCCCAGUUAGGAGUUCUCUGAUGCUGCUGCCUUUGGAGCUUGUAAGAAAAAGGAUAGGGUAGAGAAUUGAAUCAUACAAGCAUACCUAGUUUUUACAAGUACUGAAAAGUAUUCAACAGCCCCAGUUUGAGAGUGGUUCAGAAUGAGAGGCACAACGAUGAUGGAGUUGAGAAGACCACAGGUGCCUUAACAGCACUCUUGUGAGAAGCCUUCUUUGUAAGGCUGCCUCUGUCCUGUUCUCCUUAAUGCAUUGGAAGUCAAUGCACGUGUAAGAAGGUAUUGUUACUUAACACUAUUUCUAAACACUUGGCUGACAAUCACUCAGGUGUAGGUGGAGGCCUCAUUUUAAUUUUAAAGAGCACUGUGCACAUGUUCUCUGCACACAAAUGAAUCAUAGAACUCAUUUCAGGAAGGCAGAGGCCUAAGAAAGGUCACCAAUGGUCUUUGGCAUUUCUGAAUAUAAAUCACAGUUUGUGUGGAUUUAUCCCUUUAGAGGUAAGUUUUACUGGAAUGGUUAGAAUCCACACCGUGAGUUUGAUGGUCGUGCAUGAGCUCAAAUGUGUUUGGUACAAUUAAUGUCAGCUGAAGUUAAUUUAUUACAUGCAUUAUUCCAAAUGAACUCUGGUGUUUUUUUUUGUCUGGCUUCACCAGUAGGAGUGUGAGGAGCAUUGGUCAGCCUGGUGCAUGGCAGUAUUGAGGAGAACUGCCAUCCCCACUUAGUGUCUGUGGAGAGGAAAUCCAUUUUAGCAGACCUGGAGAAGAAGCUAGCAGUAGUGCUGUGACAAUUUCAAUUAAAGCCUCAAGCAUAACCGUAUGGGAAUCCUGAACACUUACUGGGUGCGGUCUGAGAGCUGCUGGUUUGAAGCAUUAAUACACGGCAAAAUCACAGGACAUGGAGUCUUAGCCUUCUGAACCGGUUCUCUGGUCUCCACUCUUCCCAUCUGCACUUCCUGAAGAUUUUGGAACUGCUGGAACUGCAUUUAUUUUGGGGGGAAAAGUAGCUGCAUUGGGCAAAAUGCUUCAGAAUCUUUCAGAAUUGAAGUCCAGCUGUAACUUGGAGAAAUAAAUGGAAGGGAAGUUGGUACUCAACAGCAUGUUGUCACAUCUCAUCUUGGCAGCGGCUAUGAUGUAGUGAAAGAUAAGGUUCUCCAUCUCACUGGGAUCCCAGGUACCCCUUCUGCUUUAUGAAGAGAGGUGGCCCAAGGCAAUUAAGGUGCUUGUGCCAUUCCUCUGCAGUUGUAUACAGCAUUUGCCAGCCUGAACUGAAAGCUGUGCUGCUGUCUGCAUGCAAUGGGAAGCUGCAUGGAAAAGCAUUGUCUCCAAGGAUGCCUUCUGUACCUUCAUGCCAGACCAUCGUUUAGGGUGGACAUCUGGCAGACAUGAUACAGUGCAACCUGCAUUUGGUGUCCCAUCAGGUUGGACAGGUAAUGCAUGCUUCAACUCCUGUGUGUACCACGGCUGAAGCUGAACUCACAUAUCUUUGUUUACCUCUUCCUAAACUUCUGUUGUUGUUGCUUUGGAUUUUAUACAUAAGCUUUAUUUCUUUGUCUUCUGUUGCAGGCUGUACUGAAUAUCGAUUUUUCUGCAUUGUUUUGGCAAGGCACUUCAUCUGUGGUAAAUAAUAACUCUCCUGUUCUCCCCAUAUCUUUAAUAAUGUUCAUUUGAAAGGCUUUUGCAUGAGGAAGUGAGAGAGUAUUUCAUUUUUUUUCCACACAGUUUUUUAAUAGCUGGAAGAACUGUCCUGGAAUAGAAAUGGUUGAUGUAAUUGGGCUAGAGCUAAUGAAGGAAGAGCUUUGAUGAAACGUUGAUAUUUACUAUAGUCUGCCUACUGAAGCAAUUUUCUUCAUUAAUUCUCUUUUUCUUUAAAUUCAAGUUAAUGUUGGGAUAGUAAGUAUUAAAUGCUCUGCUCUUAGGAGGAAUGGGAUUUGUCACAGGGCAAUGGUGCUGUGGCAUUCCUGGAGACUGCUCCAUCACUAAUGGCUAAUCGGCUUAAUGAGAGUGUGAACAGAUUGCUAACUGCCGUGGUGGGCUUUCUGGGCUGGAGGCAGGAGGUUCAAGUCUGGCAACGUCAGCAGGUAGCUGGCAAGGAGGUAUGGUUGGCUUCUGCACCAAAUGUGAUGACAUUUUUGUUUUGUCUUCAUUUUUCUUGCAGGCUCUUGUUCUCAGGAGCAGUUUCCCUGCCAAAUGCCAUCGUAUCACAUCAAGCUGCUUUUUGUGUGUGAUACUGUACUCUGGGAGCACUGAGAGGCUCUCUACCCAAUCCAAGCCUAAACAUGACACUGCCUCUGUGUGGGUAAAGGCACACACUGGAGGCUGUCAGCUGCUCUGUUCUGCUUCACUCUUUGUCUCUUGCUGCAUAGGGUGCAUCUGUGCAUGGCGAAGUGGGCAUGCCUUCUUGUUAAGAAGUCUAUAUGGAACUUGUGCAGCUGCUAUUGCAAAGCAUAACUGGAACUUCUGGAUAUCACCCUUGCCUGAUGCUGCAAAUCUAAGGCCACAAGUCUCAAUUAAGUUACCGAUAAAUAACUGCCACAGACCUGUGAGAUGAAGAGUGCACAGGCCACCUGCUGCUGCUUUCUGAGGUGAAGACAGAGACUCAGCAUCUAACCCAAGUUGCAGGGCUGCUUGCUGGGUGACACAGAUGCGUUCUCAGUGCCUUGCCAGCACUGCAGGAAUCAGGUGCUUGCGGGGUACAGGGUGAUUUUGUUGUGCCAUUGUGUUGAUGCCAAGUUUCCUCUGGCUUUAAAUGUCUGGCUGACAUUCAUUCUUACAAACACUUUUCUGACAGGGAAACAAGGUUAUGUAGUCAUACUAGAAAUAAAUAAGUAAAAAGUAAAGCCUGUAGAAAAUGUCUGGAUAGUCUCUGAAGGAAGAGCACUUUCCUGUAUUCCUUAGGAAGCCUCCUGUAACAAGCAUGGAGAAGGCGAGGAACCAAAAAGGGGAAAGCGUGGAUGAAUUCUGAGUCCCAGCAGAGCAGAAGUUACAGCUGCAGUUCAGAGCAGUGUCAAAUAUUGUGAUGCAAGCUGCUGGGUAAAAGACCCCAGGAACACAGCAGUGGGUGUCCUUUAGCAGAUGGGAGCAUUCAGGAAGCUGUCCUGUGCAGCACAGAGUGCUUUGCUGAUGGCUGUGAGAUGUGCAACCAUGGGCACACGCCAGGCUCAUCUCCCAGUGUCACAGAACCAGAGCAGAGGAAGUCUCAGCCAUCACUACACUGACUCCAAACCUUAGGAGGUUACUUUUGCUCCUUUGUCACCCUCACAUAGCAACUGAAGGAUGUUCUUAGGAUGCCUGAAUAAAUGACAGACUUGUUUGCAGCUUGUCCCAGAAACUGCCCUCACAUCCUUGCUGUGUAGCAUGAAGACAUUCUUAGUGUUGCUCUCUGUUCUCCACAGCUAAGCUUGGUGAUCUCUAACAACUGCUUAAAGUUUGCACCGAGAGUCUCUUAAAUGCUGUCUUUAAUGGAAAUAAAAAUUUCUUCUUUUGCAAGCCAGGCACCCAUCUGUGAGGAUAUGGCUUAGGCUGGGAAGCUACUUUGUCUGUCGUGCUUCUCUGCUCUACCUGCUGACGUUCGCAGAAAAAAAUUGAAGGAAUAGCGUCUGCACAAAGCUUUGAAUUUGCCUGCCUGGAAAACUCCUUCUUGUCAUCUAUUAAAUGAGUAGCAAUGUUUCUACGUCUUUGGCAGACCCAGAAAUGUUAAUUCAGACCGCAGUACAGCCGUGAGGCUCUGCAUUAGCAGCUUCCAUCAGCAAUGGAUUUGCAGUCGGACUGUGAAACUGUGUCCAGAAUGGCUCUCAUUCGAAGGAAGGAGCAAACAGCUGACUUACAGCGCUUCCAAACCAAACAAAUAAAUAAAUACAAAUAAAUAAAUGAAAAAAAAGAAAGGUAAUCCAGCCAGUCUGACUGCUUCUGUGGUGCAGAUUUGUAUCUCCCUGGUAAGCAGCAGUAUAGCUGGUCAAACUGUAAUCAGAGCUAAAAUGUGGUGUUUUGUUCAGAUAAAUGAAAUGCUUUGGAAAAGAAACAUUUGACAAACUUUCCUGUGCAGAUACUCUUUUUCAAAACUGAGUUUUAGUUAAUUAGCACUUAUUCCAGACAGCCAAGCUUUCUUCCUAGGUGAGAUGCUCAACAAGAGCUAGUAGCCUGGGAGGAGCACAGACUGAGGAUUCUGUUAUCUGACACAGAAUGUUUCAUCUCUUAAAGCUGUUUCAAAUUACCGUUUUCCAUAUAAACAACAUGUCAGCUGUUGCUUUGCCUUUAUGACUAACCUGUGUGAUCAUGUCUCUUUGUCCUGUGGCAUAGAAACAAUUCUGUUGGCCACUGGGUAGAUGCACUGUAUGGCAGUGACGAGCAACACUGGUGACAAAGAAUAAGCUAAGUGGCACAGCAAAUAAUAAAACUGGACCGUCCUCAUGCCUGCUAGUCUCAAUGAAGCAGCCCCCAGCUUUUUUCCUUGCCAGUAGAUUUUUUUUUAAUCUAAUGGCUUAGUAAACACUAUAACAAAUAAAAGGAGAAAAGUUAAAUUGCAGUCCAUAAAUACAAUAUUUGGAUAUGCUUAAUAAUGCUGAAAUGCUUGUCACAUUCCUCUGAUCUCACUUUGUGCUUGUUGCCCCUAACUCAGAGUGCUGAGGAGCUGUUUGGGACCAGGGCUGUGACAGCACAAGGGGAGCGGGCAGCUCUGGCCUCAAAGCCUGGGCCUUGGAAGAAAGGGAGGUGUUGGGGGUUUUGUAGUUAAAUACAAUGUGAGUAACACAACAGUUGCCUUCAUUGUUUUCUUGAUGAAAUGAGUCCUGCUGAGCUGCCUCCAGGCAGCAGAUGGUGAGGAUCCCACUUGUGUGUUGGCUGGGUCUGCAGCUGGUUGGGAGGCACUUUGCUGUUGUGCCAUGGGAUCCUUUGCAGGAGUUCUCAGCCGUGAAGAAAGGUACCAAAUUUGGAGGGCUUGCUAAUGGUUUCCAUUAAUCCUGGAGCAGGAGGUGGAUCCUGUUGCAGCAAAGGGCUCCAGCUCUGAUCAGAAAAGCUCCCAGAGUGUCUACUUGGACAUUUGCUGAUUUUGAGCUGUAAAUUCAAAUUGCCUUUUCAAGACUGAUAACCUUCUAGUUUCCUUUUAUUUUUGGCUGUUAGAAAGAGUCUUUCUUCAUAGACAUACUUCAAAACAAGAAAGGAAUAUGCUGGUAUUUCCUGUCUGUACUCAAGACAGACUUCCAGCUCAUGGUCCCUCUGCUGUUUCUCAGUGACUGAUCUGCCAAAGUAGCCCAUGUUUUUCAGUCAGCUGAGAUAAAGCCAAGGGGAGAAAUAAAAACAGGAGCUUUCAGACUCCCUGCUUCGGUCUACUAAAUGUUUGAAGUCAUGUGAACCACAAAAAAGUGAAUGCUGAUUUCAUGUUAUAUUUCAUAUACUUGAUUUCCACUAUCCAAGACCAGCGACAGAAUUUCCAAGCAAAAACUCUGGCUGCCCACCAAACGGGCUUUGCUUGACAAUCAGCUUGUCUGAGAUGUGCUUGUUGUUUGGGAUUUGCAGUUCCUUGAACUGUACAUCAGCUGUGGUGCUGGCAAGCCUGGGAUGCUGACUGGUGACUGAUGAAGCAGUGAAGGUAAUAGCCAAGGCAGGUGGCAGAAUUUUAGGGUGGGAAAGCAUUUAUGAUUUAAAAUGACAAAAUGCAUAAAGUACCUAUGGCUCUGUAUAGAUGCUGAAAGAAUAAAUAACAUAAAUCAGAGCAUCUGGCACUCAGGACUUUUUGUGCAGCCUUAGCCAGCAGUUUGUAGGAAAUUGAAACACGAUAAUUACCAUCUCUCAAUGGUUGUUAGCAGCGAUCAUUGUGAAAUACGUGUAAACACUGAACUGGAAUCUCUGGAAACAGCAGCAUAUGCAAAAUUGGCAGAAAAUCACCAUGCUCUGGGGAUUGGAGUAACUGGAAGGAGACUGGAAGGACUCAUGGAUCUUAGGACAAGAAGUGGCUGAUGCAGGGCUGCUGGCUACCCGUGCCAAUUGCUGACAGUGCUGCUGGAGAAGUGACAGUGCAUGGAGCCGUCUUGUUUCUUGCACUCUGGGGGCUCUGGUGCAGCUGAGUGAUGCAAUGCUGUUCCCAAAUUGCUUGUUGCUGUCCCUUCCUCAUCCCUCAGGAAGACUAGUUGUCAGGAGGCUCUACAGGGUGCUUUGAGGCCCUGGUGAUCAUAUUAGCAACUCCCAUUUUUCAUAAGCACUAACGAGUUAGUCACAGAGGGCUUUGUAUGGGAACUGAUGAGUCCCAGCCUGAACCACUGAUUGAGCACGUGGGGAAAGGACCUGGUCAGCCCUGAGAGCACAGGUGAAGGCAGUUCAGCUGUGAGACAGGAAGGGUUGGAGCCUGGCUGCACCUCUCUUAGACCUCAUUGAAGGGCUGACUGCUAACAGGGAAGGGUUUCUGGUUGGAGAUCCCUUCUUGGUGAUGUUUUCCCCUGCAAAACUGGAAUCUUCUGAUAUAGGUCUGAGCCAGCUUCAAAUUGCACCAAACUGUUGCCAAGUGUGAGCAAGCCGCCAUCCAAGUAGAGAAGGUUUGGCAGACUUGAGCCGGGGGCUUUGUUUGCUUCAGGACUCUUCAAGCCUGAGGGAGUUUGCCUCUUGGUCACCGCUCUGCCGGAGCCGCACCACGCUCCAUGGCAGCAGUGUGCCAGCUGCCCCAGCUGCAUGUACUGAAGAGAUGCUUCUGCUUUUUGCAUUUCUUUGCUUGUGUUUUUCAUCUGCAUGUACAGAGGUAGCUGUUUAAUGUUUUUUUUUCAUGGGGAGCUCAGAGUAAGCUGUGGGUUAAUCCUGUGUAUGCAUGCAGUGCAGCCUCUGCCAGCCACUGGAGGACCCAUGAUUUAACACUGUGCUGAGUCUUUAUCAAGAUAACAGCUACAGAGUUUUGCUCUUUUUGAGUCAAAUUCUGCCACCAUCCGUUGAUGGUGAAUCUGAGUUCCUUGUCCUGGUCUUUUGUGACAUGAAGCCAGAGGAAAUGAGAAACAUAUGCCAUUGACCCAUGGGACAGUAUGAGAAGCUCCUGUGUAACGGGGGAUGCAGCUGGUGUGCAGUCUCAAACCCUGUCUCUGCUGAUACAAAGUCAUUUUUGCUUUGCCUUUUCCUUCUAGAGAUGUGGAUGGAGUAGGAAGCUCAUCAAGGCUGAUAGGGCAUGAAGCUGCUCUGCUUUGGGGAAUGAAAGCAGGAGCUCUCCAGAUGUAUUCCUGAGCUCCUGCAGGGGGAAGGCAGUUCGUGUGUUACCUCAGUCCAGUGUGUUACCAGCUCAAGCUCUGCAUGCAGUAACACUGGAAAGCAGGGGAGACUGGCUUCUCUCAUCUCCUGCAUGCGUAAAUCUGGAUAUCUGCUGCACACUGGCUAAUCUCAACAAGAUUUCAGGUAUGAGCCUGGAAGUUACUUGGCAGUGAUCUGAGUGUUGACAUACAUCUGAGAAUACCUGCUUGCUGUGAAGCACUUACUGUUUCUGGAGGCUUUGGUGUGAUGUGUGUUCAGAUCUCUUACAGAGACCAAGGAUGGAACAUGGAGAUUUUUGUAGUUUCAGCGGUCCUUGUUCUUCCACCUCUGUAUCCUGCCUUUCCAAUGAGUUCUACCAUAGUGGCUAUAGGCUGCCUGGGGACAGAGUGGGUGAAGAAUUCCAUGAAUAUGCUUAUAUCUUCAUUAGAUGCGAUUUUUUUUGUUUAGAUUUUGAAACCUUUUACUGGCUGAAAAGCAGGUUUCAGUCUCUUCACUUUGGCUAGACUCUACCAUCCCACUGCUCUCAGACUGGCUGCUAACUUGGCAAAGUUAAAGUGCUAAAAGCAUCUGCGUGGUUGGUGCCUGCAUGCCUUUUCUUUCCUUCAGUCUCUUCUUGAUUUCAAGGUGAUUCAGAUUUCUUCAGAACAGAGUGAACUUGCAUAGCAGGAUAACACCUUUUCCAGGAAGGUAUUGUGUACUCCUCCAGCCCCAUGACUUGCACUUUAUCACAAGGAUGCAGCGCCAGCUUCCUGCUCUGUACCUGCUAAUACUCUUAGAUGUCUCUGGAUGCUUUUUUCUCCCACCUUCCCCCCCCAGGUCUUGGCACAGGAGGUUGCUAUUUUUGGAUUUUUCUGCCUCCUGAGUAUGCAUUGGAAAAGUAAAUGUGACAACAGAUUCUGGGGACAAGGAGAUAUAUCCUUCCAUCUAGAGCUUUCCUACUUUUUAUGGCUCCCUACAGGUUCUUACUUUUGACAUUUCUCUUCCUUUCCACUCACAAGCUUAGUUGAAUUUAUUCUCUGAAGUCAAGCAAGGCAGCAGCAUCUCUGGUGCCUGUAGUUUAUAUAGAAAUCUCAAAUGCCGUUUAUCUGUGUCUCCAAAGUGAGGUCUUUGGCCCUUUGCAUCCUUGUGAAGAGAAUGAAGACUUCACUGCCUUGAAACCUGUCUGGACACUUGGCAAAACUAGGCCUGGAUUUCAGCUAAGAUAGAAGCGUAGCCUUUGCAGCAGCAGAUGCCAUUCUGAUGCACUCCUGCAUGAAAUGUCACUGUGUUGGCACAGCAAAAGGCGUAUUGCUUCCUUGUAGACCAGACAGUGAGGACAGCAUUUCUGGCUGGGUACCGUAAGAAGCAAAUCCAUGGUUUAUGUUCUUUGUGUCUGGGUCACCUGUCUGCCUUUUCUCAAGCCAAUCUGUUUGCCUGGCAGAGCUGUACUGAGGUUUGUCUGCUCGCAGAGUCAGAGCCAAGUGAGGAUUAGAUGGAUGGUCUGCCGAGGGCUUCUUCCAUGAGAAUGCUUUCCACCAGUGCUACAUCCUAACGCCUGCUGAGAACAGAUCUUGUGCCAGACUGUGAAAUGCUCACUUGCACCGCUCCUGCUUGCUCCACCCAUCCAGCAGCCUGGAAUGAGAUUUUCCAAGUAAAGCAUCACAAAGCCUGCACCUGGGAUACAAAGCUCUACAAAAUGCACAUCCCUUGUGCUGCGGUUUGGACCUUUCAUUGGAGAUCUUGCUGUGACAUGUGAUUGGGCCUUAAGUACUGAGAUGCCAGAACUCUUCCAACCCACCCUGUAUAUAAUUAUGCUGUGUUAUGCUUCUGACCGCUGGGCUCUGGGGUGCCCAAGGAUCCUUUUCCAUGGCAAUUUUACAUUUCUGUAAUGUCACCACCUAUGAAAUGUUUCUUUUAUGUGAUGCACGGGGCUGAUAUUUGGAGAGAAGUAUACAGAAGUAGCUGCUGGGCAGUUGCAGUUUUAGAACAGUUCCUUUGUAAAAGAACACUUUUUUUUUUUAAAUGCUUGUUCUAAAGUGGAUCUGAUCUUGUAAGCUAAGGAAGAGGCUUGCUUCUGAAGCAGAAAGGGAAACAAACAGGUAGGUAAGAAGUUAAUGAAGAAGCACACACAAACUUGCACAACUCCAGCAAGCACGUAAUGAGAGCAUUAUGCUGACAUCAUAAAAACACUGACAAAAGGCAUGGUUUGGUCUUAGAGGAAACACAAGUCAGCUAAGUGCUGAGAUGGGCCUCAAGCAGUGGGGAUGUUUGGAAAUCCAAAUCUGCGGCUCUUCUGAUUGUGAGGAAAUGCCUCUUCUGUGCAUACAGUUGUUAAUGGCAAGGAUCUGUGCUGAGCAGAAUGUUUUCCUGUUCUUCACUGCUGCAGCCCUUGAUCCUGGGGCUUUCUGGGGUUCUGAUGUUAGCACAAAUGUCCACAGUUGUUCCCAAUUACGUGGGUUUUUAUUUACUCGCAUCUUUCUGAUCCUUCAGAAAAAUUCUAACAGCAAUUUAAAUGUUUAUGGCACAAUCAGUGUGCUUAAACUGUUGCCUUGCUUUUCUGUUGUAUCUAGAUAUAACACGUACUGUAAGCAGCAGACUGUGCUGUUGGCAUUUUGUUUGAAUUGGUGUGAUAGUCUCUUGUAGUUCUGACAGUAAUGAGUGGCUCUGGGUUAUCUUCCCUAUGUGCAACAAAGUGCAACUGAGAGCUGUGUCCUUUCCAAAUCAAACCUGGGGGACUAAUGUGUAAUAAGAGCAUAAAAAUCAAAAGCAACUGCCGUAUCCUGGGAGCAGCACAAUCCACAUUCUCUUCAAACAAAAGGAUCCCUUCAGCUGCUAUAGGUCUGAUGAAAUGGGGCUUGGGACUUUUUGAGAUUGGAGCAGGGAAUCUGUGAUAGCUUGUUUGCUGCCGAUGGGCUGCUGUUGGUCCCCAGAGGAGCUGGUGGCUGGGCCCCAUUUAGAGAAGGUUGCACAGGGCAGUGCUUUGGCAGCUGCAGGAAGCCUUGCUAAAGGGAACGGCUGCCAAGAGCUGUGCAGCUCCAGGGAUGUGACAUGUCAACAGGGGCUCCCCAGGUGCUAUGAGCGUUUGUGUGAGAAACCUGGCAGUAAAGGAAAGGGAUGGAGAGAGACUGGUGUCUUCUGUCUUCCAGCCCAAAUGGAAGCAGGGCCUCAGACUGCCAACAGAAUGUCCUGCUGCCAAAUGGAGCUCAGAGGAGAAUUAAAGCUAGGUCUUGGUGGUUUGUAAUCACAGAAGAUCUCACAAUGGCUUCUGACAGUGUGCUGCUCUAACCUCAGUGUCCUGGCUGCUUUCCAGCUGCUGUAAUUACCGUCUGUCUUCUGUGCCCCUUCCUUCUAGCACCCUGUAGUUUCAAUUAGAUUUGGUGUUCUUCACUUCUCUCCAGACUUGUGUAUGCGCCUGUGUUCUCCCUACAGAGAAAACCUCCAAACCCACUAUAGUAUUUUAAUCCUGGCAUCAUUUGUUUUACAUUGUGGUUCUGUUAUCUAAUUAGUAUUAUCAUGUCUGCGUACCCGAUGCAGCCUGCCUGGAACUGGGACCUGCAGCUUUGUACAGAGUCCAUUUAUUAACUUUCCAAACUCUGAACCGAAAUCUUUUAACAAUACGCUAUUUGCUUAAGGAGAGGAAUUUAAUUGAACUCUAGGAGAGAAGGCCAGCCCAUAGCUUAUGAAUAACAGAGUUGCACGUUAACCUGUUUCCUCUGUUUGGUAUUCAGAGGUAUGUGAUGAGUGUUGGUUUUCUGGUAAUGGAGAAAAGCGGACAGGAGGCAAAUGCUCUUCAGGACUUCAGGUGCUUUCCUUCCCUCCAGCCCUCUUUCCUGCUCCUCUUCAGAACCCUAAGAUGAGAAGGUUGUUUUGUUAUCCACGUAGUGCUGAUGCUCUCUUUCCCCUUGCAGAGAGCUGUGAGCCCCUCUGCUGCCUGCUGGAUGGUUGUGCAGCCCCACAGGCCGCACUGAGCUUGGAAGGAGGAGGUGCAAGAUGACACACAUAAGUUCUGAGCUCUGCAGGAGAUCGGAGUGUGAAAGCUGACUGUCCCCAGCUAUGCAAAAAACAUGCCAGUUUGGGAUCAGUCUCCACCUUGAGAGAAGAUGGAGAAAAGCACAGCCUUUACCCUGCAGAGAGCAGCAUGUACUGUGUUGCAGAAUGCUCUUUGUUUUGAUAAAAGCCUAUGGAAACACUGGAAUAAAACCAUUAGGAGGCUGUGAUUGCUUCCUGUCUUGCUGCCUGUUGCAGGUGUAAUGAAGGAAGAGUGGUCCUUCGGGUAACUUUUGGCUCUGGAGGUACUGUCAGGCUGUGAUACCCAUUAACUCGAUUAAAAAAAAAUGAGCAUGGAGCGAAUCUUGAGCUGUUCAGGUGCCAGUGAUGGCGUGCACUUACUCAGAUCUGCUUUGUAUGGUUUUUCAGUGCCUUAGCAGCUCUUGAGCACAACUGUAUGAGCAACUUGGCUACUGCAUGCUCAGUGCAGGCGGGAGGAGACUUCUGCUUCACAAUAGCUAAACAAGUCAAGGUCUUAAGAAAAAGUUAUUUCUUAGCUCUGAGCAGCCUUGCAGGUAGUGCAGACAGUACUGAAGAAAGCAGUAGAAUUGCACUGGCAAAAAAUUCGUACUUGGAAUUUCAGACAGUAUCAAUGAGAACUUCAUUUGAGAGUGAGAGAACAGGCAUGAGCCAGAGGACAAAGUCAUUCUGGCUGUCAGCUGCUUCCUUGUGAAGAGUCAAACCUUGAAAUCCCACUGAUAUUAGUUACAGCAUUAGUUGCAUUGAACUUUGUGCGGUCCUAAAGUAGCUUAAAGCAGCCUUAAGGUCAGUCAUAACCUUUUUUUGUGGCACAUCAGUGUUUCUCUGGCUACUGUUGUCCCAGUUUUUUGCAAGAAAAGUGGCUUUUAUGUGCAUUCAGAAAAAUGUGCGUGUGUGCACAGUGACUGCAUGCUGCAGAUCAGACCAGGCUCACUUCUUCUGCACAGGCUGUACAGAGGGAGGAGAGCUCAGGAGCCCUGGGCAGACACACUGACCCAGCAUUCUUCAGGCAGGAAAGUCUAUUCAACUUAUAUUCAUCUAAGCUAAAAAAAUUGCUGCGAACUCUUGUUGUACAAAUCUGUGUUGUGUUCCAUCUGAGUAAAACGCAACCAUAAGCACGAGCAGAAAUCCAUGCGUAUUAUUUAUAGCUGAUUUAAUUUUUCGUACAAAAUGUUUCUGUAAAAAGCAAAAAUUGGAUUGGGCAUUCUCUAUAAACUUUGCAAUGCAGCGUGAGUGAAAACAUUGCAGAUUUUGGCGUUUCAGAGAAUCAAUAAGGCACGUUGUAGGCACUCAGUGCCUGAGUGUUUCCAUCCUUUGUGUGUACUGGUAAGUCUGGGAACAGAUCAAUGAGUUUACACCAGUAUUCAUCAAUACCACUACAUUUUUCUGAAGUAAUUGAGCAAUUCAUAGAAUGAAAUAUGCCAUCUGAGGGUGCUAACGUUCAUUUCUGUAAGAGGAACAUUUACCUGGUGUUGAGGUGUUCUGUGGAGACCAGUCAUCUCUGUUUUUUCCUUUUUUUUUUUUUUUAAUUUUCUU